rnacentral:lncRNA from 1 species
GGCAAAGAGUAUGAUCUCUUGUACAACUUAUCCUCAUAAAGGAUGUACCGGGAGGCUUGAUUUCUGAGCUUCCGAGCUUCUUUUGCAUCAUGAGGGAGAACCCCGUCUCUGAGGUAUGCCACCAGUGGGUCGAUCCAACUGGGCUCAUGGUCAAUUUCCAUCACGGGCCGCGAUUCUUCCGUACUUGGGCACUUCAGAACUUCAAAGAGAACACCCUUGGGCAAUUCGACCGGAGCCAGCAUAGCCAGCUUGGAGAGAAGAUCGGCCCUGGUAUUUUCCAUCCUUGGAAUCUGCCUGAUGUUGAAGCUACUAAAGGCGGGGACGAGCUCCUUUAC